CUUCCACUUCUCCCUCCUGGCGACGGUUGGCAUCGGUCGCCAUUUUUACUUCAUUUGUUUACAGCAUGAACGCAUUUAUUUCACAUAUUUAUAAUGCGGGUAGGGCGUUAAUAUUGGGCACCCAAUAUUUACAACUAAAGGGUGGGUUAUUAUAAAUCGCGUCGAAUGAAGCUGUUCACAUAAUUUCGAUCGAACUUCACUUGGUAAGUUCGUUUGAUCUUCAAUUAUGUUUCACAGCUUCAUUCUUUGCGAUUUAAGUUUAACAUAGUGUAGGAUGUUCAGAGCAUAUUAAUGUAAAAUAAAUCGUUAACGGAUCAAGGAUAUACUUAGGUCUCCGGCAGAGGAAAGGAUUGAACGAGCGAAUUGAUUACAAUCAGCGACUAUCUCCUUAUGAUAGUAUUUGGCGAAUACACAUGAGGCAUCCGUCCACCCUGCUGUUUUGCGGAUUAAGUCAAGACUUACACCCAUCUUGUUGGCCGUGGAUGUGGAAGCAUGACGAGUGCUAUGUGCCGUGAAUAUAGAAGUGUCUAUUCCACUAUCGCGUAGUGUUGUUUUUAUCCAUGAACUUAGUGUUUGAGGUGUGACUUUAUUGUGCGGUUUUUUGUAACUUAUAAAUAAAGAGUUGUUACUUGUA